rnacentral:miRNA from 1 species
CGAGAUUCUAGGGGCUACCACG